ACCAAUCGCAGGCAUGGUUCGUCUCCGAAAACCCU
rnacentral:sRNA from 1 species